GCAAAAUACUUUCCGUAGGGGAACCUGCGGAGGGAUCAUUACCGAGUUUACAACUCCCAAACCCAAUGUGAACGUUACCAAACUGUUGCCUCGGCGGGAUCUCUGCCCCGGGUGCGUCGCAGCCCCGGACCAAGGCGCCCGCCGGAGGACCAACCAAAACUCUUUUUGUAUACCCCCUCGCGGGUUUUUUAUAAUCUGAGCCUUCUCGGCGCCUCUCGUAGGCGUUUCGAAAAUGAAUCAAAACUUUCAACAACGGAUCUCUUGGUUCUGGCAUCGAUGAAGAACGCAGCGAAAUGCGAUAAGUAAUGUGAAUUGCAGAAUUCAGUGAAUCAUCGAAUCUUUGAACGCACAUUGCGCCCGCCAGUAUUCUGGCGGGCAUGCCUGUCCGAGCGUCAUUUCAACCCUCGAACCCCUCCGGGGGGUCGGCGUUGGGGAUCGGCCCUCCCUUAGCGGGUGGCCGUCUCCGAAAUACAGUGGCGGUCUCGCCGCAGCCUCUCCUGCGCAGUAGUUUGCACACUCGCAUCGGGAGCGCGGCGCGUCCACAGCCGUUAAACACCCAACUUCUGAAAUGUUGACCUCGGAUCAGGUAGGAAUACCCGCUGAACUUAAGCAUAUCUAGGUG
rnacentral:sRNA from 1 species